UACGUAGGUGGCAAGCGUUGUCCGGAAUUAUUGGGCGUAAAGGGCGUGUAGGUGGAUUCUUAAGUCGUGUGUCUAAGUGCGGAGCUCAACUCCGUAUAGGCGCAGGAAACUGGGAAUCUUGAGUGCAGGAGAGGAAAGUGGAAUUCCCAGUGUAGCGGUGAAAUGCGUAGAUAUUGGGAGGAACACCAGUGGCGAAGGCGACUUUCUGGACUGUGUCUGACACUGAGGCGCGAAAGCUAGGGGAGCGAACGGG
rnacentral:rRNA from 1 species